GAGUUUGAUCGUGGCUCAGGACGAACGCUGGCGGCGUGCCUAAUACAUGCAAGUCGAGCGAGCUUGCCUAGAUGAUUUUAGUGCUUGCACUAAAUGAAACUAGAUACAAGCGAGCGGCGGACGGGUGAGUAACACGUGGGUAACCUGCCCAAGAGACUGGGAUAACACCUGGAAACAGAUGCUAAUACCGGAUAACAACACUAGACGCAUGUCUAGAGUUUGAAAGAUGGUUCUGCUAUCACUCUUGGAUGGACCUGCGGUGCAUUAGCUAGUUGGUAAGGUAACGGCUUACCAAGGCAAUGAUGCAUAGCCGAGUUGAGAGACUGAUCGGCCACAUUGGGACUGAGACACGGCCCAAACUCCUACGGGAGGCAGCAGUAGGGAAUCUUCCACAAUGGACGAAAGUCUGAUGGAGCAACGCCGCGUGAGUGAAG
rnacentral:rRNA from 1 species